rnacentral:rRNA from 1 species
GGGUUGUGAGGUUAAGCGAACAAGCGUACACGGUGGAUGCCCUGGCAGUCAGAGGCGAUGAAGGACGUGCUAAUCUGCGAAAAGCGCCGGUAAGGUGAUAUGAACCGUUAUAACCGGCGAUGUCCGAAUGGGGAAACCCGGUGCACUUCGGUGCAUCAUCGUUAGCUGAAUACAUAGGCUAACGAGGCGAACCGGGGGAACUGAAACAUCUAAGUACCCCGAGGAAAAGAAAUCAACCGAGAUUCCCCCAGUAGCGGCGAGCGAACGGGGAACAGCCCAGAGCCUGAAUCAGCUUGUGUGUCAGUGGAACGGUCUGGAAAGGCCGGCGAUACAGGGUGACAGCCCCGUACACGAAGGCACACAGGCUGUGAGCUCGAUGAGUAGGGCGGGACACGUGAUAUCCUGUCUGAAGAUGGGGGGACCAUCCUCCAAGGCUAAAUACUCCUGACUGACCGAUAGUGAACCAGUACCGUGAGGGAAAGGCGAAAAGAACCCCGGCGAGGGGAGUGAAACAGAACCUGAAACCGUGUACGUACAAGCAGUGGGAGCCUUCGUAAGAGGGUGACUGCGUACCUUUUGUAUAAUGGGUCAGCGACUUAUAUUCUGUAGCAAGGUUAACCGUAUAGGGGAGCCGAAGGGAAACCGAGUCUUAACCGGGCGUUAAGUUGCAGGGUAUAGACCCGAAACCCGGUGAUCUAGCCAUGGGCAGGUUGAAGGUUGGGUAACACUAACUGGAGGACCGAACCGACUAAUGUUGAAAAAUUAGCGGAUGACCUGUGGCUGGGGGUGAAAGGCCAAUCAAACCGGGAGAUAGCUGGUUCUCCCCGAAAGCUAUUUAGGUAGCGCCUCGUGAACUCAUCUCCGGGGGUAGAGCACUGUUUCGGCUAGGGGGCCAUCCCGGCUUACCAACCCGAUGCAAACUGCGAAUACCGGAGAAUGUUAUCACGGGAGACACACGGCGGGUGCUAACGUCCGUCGUGAAGAGGGAAACAACCCAGACCGCCAGCUAAGGUCCCAAAGUCAUGGUUAAGUGGGAAACGAUGUGGGAAGGCCCAGACAGCCAGGAUGUUGGCUUAGAAGCAGCCAUCAUUUAAAGAAAGCGUAAUAGCUCACUGGUCGAGUCGGCCUGCGCGGAAGAUGUAACGGGGCUAAACCAUGCACCGAAGCUGCGGCAGCGACACUAUGUGUUGUUGGGUAGGGGAGCGUUCUGUAAGCCUGUGAAGGUGUGCUGUGAGGCAUGCUGGAGGUAUCAGAAGUGCGAAUGCUGACAUAAGUAACGAUAAAGCGGGUGAAAAGCCCGCUCGCCGGAAGACCAAGGGUUCCUGUCCAACGUUAAUCGGGGCAGGGUGAGUCGACCCCUAAGGCGAGGCCGAAAGGCGUAGUCGAUGGGAAACAGGUUAAUAUUCCUGUACUUGGUGUUACUGCGAAGGGGGGACGGAGAAGGCUAUGUCGGCCGGGCGACGGUUGUCCCGGUUUAAGCGUGUAGGCUGACUUUCCAGGCAAAUCCGGAAGGUUAAGGCUGAGGCGUGAUGACGAGGCACCACGGUGCUGAAGUGACAAAUGCCCUGCUUCCAGGAAAAGCCUCUAAGCAUCAGGUAACAUCAAAUCGUACCCCAAACCGACACAGGUGGUCAGGUAGAGAAUACCAAGGCGCUUGAGAGAACUCGGGUGAAGGAACUAGGCAAAAUGGUGCCGUAACUUCGGGAGAAGGCACGCUGACAUGUAGGUGAAGCCCCUGCGGGUGGAGCUGAAGUCAGUCGAAGAUACCAGCUGGCUGCAACUGUUUAUUAAAAACACAGCACUGUGCAAACACGAAAGUGGACGUAUACGGUGUGACGCCUGCCCGGUGCCGGAAGGUUAAUUGAUGGGGUUAUCGCAAGAGAAGCUCCUGAUCGAAGCCCCGGUAAACGGCGGCCGUAACUAUAACGGUCCUAAGGUAGCGAAAUUCCUUGUCGGGUAAGUUCCGACCUGCACGAAUGGCGUAAUGAUGGCCAGGCUGUCUCCACCCGAGACUCAGUGAAAUUGAACUCGCUGUGAAGAUGCAGUGUACCCGCGGCAAGACGGAAAGACCCCGUGAACCUUUACUACAGCUUGACACUGAACAUUGAGCCUUGAUGUGUAGGAUAGGUGGGAGGCUUUGAAGCGUGGACGCCAGUCUGCGUGGAGCCAACCUUGAAAUACCACCCUUUAAUGUUUGAUGUUCUAACCUGGCGCCGUGAUCCGGCGUGGGGACAGUGUCUGGUGGGUAGUUUGACUGGGGCGGUCUCCUCCCAAAGUGUAACGGAGGAGCACGAAGGUCAGCUAAUCCUGGUCGGACAUCAGGAGGUUAGUGCAAUGGCAUAAGCUGGCUUGACUGCGAGAGUGACGGCUCGAGCAGGUGCGAAAGCAGGUCAUAGUGAUCCGGUGGUUCUGUAUGGAAGGGCCAUCGCUCAACGGAUAAAAGGUACUCCGGGGAUAACAGGCUGAUACCGCCCAAGAGUUCAUAUCGACGGCGGUGUUUGGCACCUCGAUGUCGGCUCAUCACAUCCUGGGGCUGAAGUAGGUCCCAAGGGUAUGGCUGUUCGCCAUUUAAAGUGGUACGCGAGCUGGGUUUAGAACGUCGUGAGACAGUUCGGUCCCUAUCUGCCGUGGGCGCUGGAGAAUUGAGGGGGGCUGCUCCCAGUACGAGAGGACCGGAGUGGACGCAUCACUGGUGUUCGGGUUGUCAUGCCAAUGGCACUGCCCGGUAGCUAAAUGCGGAAGAGAUAAGUGCUGAAAGCAUCUAAGCACGAAACUUGCCCCGAGAUGAGUUCUCCCUGAGACUAUAAGUCUCCUGAAGGAACGUUGAAGACGACGACGUUGAUAGGCCGGG